CCUACGGGUGGCAGCAGUGAGGAAUAUUGGUCAAUGGCCGAGAGGCUGAACCAGCCAAGUCGCGUGAGGGAAGACGGCCCUACGGGUUGUAAACCUCUUUUGUCGGGGAGCAAAGAGAGUCACGUGUGACUCAUUGAGAGUACCCGAAGAAAAAGCAUCGGCUAACUCCGUGCCAGCAGCCGCGGUAAUACGGAGGAUGCGAGCGUUAUCCGGAUUUAUUGGGGUUAAAGGGUGCGCAGGCGGGGGUGCAAGUCAGCGGUCAAAUUGCGGGGCUCAACCCCGUACUGCCGUUGAAACUGCAUGCCUUGAGUGCGCGAGAAGUAUGCGGAAUGCGUGGUGUAGCGGUGAAAUGCAUAGAUAUCACGCAGAACUCCGAUGGCGAAGGCAGCAUACCGGCGCGCAACUGACGCUCAUGCACGAAAGCGUGGGUAUCGAACAGGAUUAGAUACCCUUGUAGUC
rnacentral:rRNA from 1 species